rnacentral:rRNA from 1 species
AUACCUACUGUUGCUUCGGCGGGAUUGCCCCGGGCGCCUCGUGUGCCCCGGAUCAGGCGCCCGCCUAGGAAACUUAACUCUUGUUUUAUUUUGGAAUCUUCUGAGUAGUUUUUACAAAUAAAUAAAAACUUUCAACAACGGAUCUCUUGGUUCUGGCAUCGAUGAAGAACGCAGCGAAAUGCGAUAAGUAAUGUGAAUUGCAGAAUUCAGUGAAUCAUCGAAUCUUUGAACGCACAUUGCGCCCGCCAGUAUUCUGGCGGGCAUGCCUGUCUGAGCGUCAUUUCAACCCUCAUGCCCCUAGGGCGUGGUGUUGGGGAUCGGCCAAAGCCCGCGAGGGACGGCCGGCCCCUAAAUCUAGUGGCGGACCCGUCGUGGCCUCCUCUGCGAAGUAGUGAUAUUCCGCAUCGGAGAGCGAUGAGCCCCUGCCGUUAAACCCCCAACUUUCCAAGGUUGACCUCAGAUCAGGUAGGAAUACCCGCUGAACUUAAGCAUAUCAA